ensembl:lncRNA
UAACAAUGCUCCUACGAAUGUUCUAACGAUGAACUUAGCCUUAAGAUGCUUUUGGUAAACCAGGCCCUGGACUGUGAUUUAGGUCUGUGAUUUAGGUCUGGAAUUUAGGUCUGUGAUUUAGGUGUGUGAUUUAGGUGUGUGAUUUAGGUCUGUGAUUUAGGUCUGUGAUUUAGGUGUGUGAUUUAGGUGUGUGAUUUAGGUGUGUGAUUUAGGUGUGUGAUUUAGGUCUGUGAUUUAGGUGUGUGAUUUAGGUCUGUGAUUUAGGUCUGUGAUUUAGGUCUGUGAUGUGGGCUGGAGAAGCAGUGAAUUGAAUGUUGCAGUAAAUUCUAAAAGGCUAUAGAUGGCUCGAGACCAAAGCUCACCCCAUUGGGC